UACGAAGGGGGCGAGCGUUGUUCGGAUUUACUGGGCGUAAAGGGCGCGUAGGCGGGAUGGCAAGUCGGUCGUGAAAUCCUUCGGCUCAACCGAAGAACGUCGGCCGAUACUGCCGUUCUUGAGGGAUGCAGAGGAGAUUGGAAUUCCCGGUGUAGCGGUGAAAUGUGUAGAGAUCGGGAGGAACACCGGUGGCGAAGGCGGGUCCCUGGGCAUCUCCUGACGCUGAGGCGCGAAAGCGUGGGGAGCAAACGGG
rnacentral:rRNA from 1 species